rnacentral:rRNA from 1 species
AACGCGAAGAACCUUACCAGCCCUUGACAUCCCGGUCGCGGACUCCAGAGACGGAGUUCUUCAGUUCGGCUGGACCGGAGACAGGUGCUGCAUGGCUGUCGUCAGCUCGUGUCGUGAGAUGUUGGGUUAAGUCCCGCAACGAGCGCAACCCUCGUCCUUAGUUGCUACCAUUCAGUUGAGCACUCUAAGGAGACUGCCGGUGAUAAGCCGCGAGGAAGGUGGGGAUGACGUCAAGUCCUCAUGGCCCUUACGGGCUGGGCUACACACGUGCUACAAUGGCGGUGACAAUGGGACGCUAAGGGGCAACCCUUCGCAAAUCUCAAAAAGCCGUCUCAGUUCGGAUUGGGCUCUGCAACUCGAGCCCAUGAAGUUGGAAUCGCUAGUAAUCGUGGAUCAGCACGCCACGGUGAAUACGUUCCCGGGCCUUGUA